rnacentral:rRNA from 1 species
CAGCACUAAGUGGGUGGUAAACUCCAUCUAAAACUAAAUAUAACCAUGAGACCGAUAGCAAACAAGUACCGUGAGGGAAAGUUGAAAAGAACUCUGAAUAGAGAGUUAAAUAGUACGUGAAACUGCUUAGAGGUUAAGCCCGAUGAACCUGAAUAUCCGUUGUAGAAAAUUCAUCAUCAAGUCUAUGAUAUUUUCAUAAAUAUUGUAUGAGUGGUGUGCACUUUUUCUACUUAAGGACAUUGUAAUCUGUUAAUGUUUGAAUGCAUAUUAUAAGAACAUAUACAAUAGUUUUUACAUUAUUUAAUUUACGUUAAAUAUGUUUAAAUGUAAAUGCUUCGAAUAUGCCAUUGACAGAUUUUUCUAUAUAUUGUACUUAAAUCUUUUGAUUUUAUAAUAAUAUGUAUCUCAUUGAUUUAUGUAUUUAUUAUAUGUACAUAUAUGAUUGACAAUGCGAAAGAUUCAGGAUACCUUCGGGACCC